rnacentral:rRNA from 1 species
GGCGCACGGGUGAGUAACACGUAGGUAAUUUGCCUUCGGGUGGGGAAUAACAGCCGGAAACGGCUGCUAAUACCGCAUAAUGCAGCGGCUCGACAUCGAGACAGUUGUUAAAGCGGGGGAUUCGCAAGAACCUCGCGCCUGAAGAGAAGCCUGCGGCAGAUUAGCUAGUUGGCAGGGUAACGGCCUACCAAGGCGACGAUCUGUAGCCGGCCUGAGAGGGCGGUCGGCCACACUGACACUGACAUACGGGUCAGACUCCUACGGGAGGCAGCAGUCGGGAAUUUUGGGCAAUGGGCGAAAGUCUGACCCAGCAACGCCGCGUGAAGGAUGAAAUCCCUCGGGAUGUAAACUUCGCAAGAAUGGGAAGAAUAAGUGGGGGACAAUACCCCCCAUGAUGACGGUACCAUUUGUAAGCUCCGGCUAACUCCGUGCCAGCAGCCGCGG